CCUACGGGUGGCAGCAGUGAGGAAUAUUGGUCAAUGGACGCAAGUCUGAACCAGCCAUGCCGCGUGCAGGAAGACGGCUCUAUGAGUUGUAAACUGCUUUUGUACGAGGGUAAACGCAGAUACGCGUAUCUGUCUGAAAGUAUCGUACGAAUAAGGAUCGGCUAACUCCGUGCCAGCAGCCGCGGUAAUACGGAGGAUUCAAGCGUUAUCCGGAUUUAUUGGGUUUAAAGGGUGCGUAGGCGGUCGAAUAAGUUAGAGGUGAAAUCCCGAGGCUCAACUUCGGAAUUGCCUCUGAUACUGUACGGCUAGAGAGUAGUUGCGGUAGGCGGAAUGUAUGGGGUAGCGGUGAAAUGCUUAGAGAUCAUACAGAACACCGAUUGCGAAGGCAGCUUACCAGGCUACUUCUGACGUUGAGGCACGAAAGCGUGGGGAGCGAACAGGAUUAGAUACCCGGGUAGUC
rnacentral:rRNA from 1 species